UACGUAGGGCGCGAGCGUUGUCCGGAUUUAUUGGGCGUAAAGAGCUCGUAGGCGGCUUGUCGCGUCGACUGUGAAAUCCCGCGGCUCAACUGCGGGUCUGCAGUCGAUACGGGCAGGCUAGAGUUCGGUAGGGGAGACUGGAAUUCCUGGUGUAGCGGUGAAAUGCGCAGAUAUCGGGAGGAACACCAAUGGCGAAGGCAGCUCGCUGGGACGUUACUGACGCUGAGACGCGAAAGCGUGGGGAGCAAACAGG
rnacentral:rRNA from 1 species